UCAGCUUGCCAAAGUUGUUAGGAUUACAGGCAUGAGCCACUGUGCCUUGCCAGCACAGUAUUUCUUAAGGGGGUACUCCACUAUUGAAUCUGGUAUUUCCUUCCAAGUCAGCCAUACCCAUUCUGUAAAUUUGGUGACUGGCACUUUCCCACUGGACUAAGCUCAUAGUUAAAUAAGCAGGCAGCUUCCAUCAAACUCAUGCUUGCCAUCCUAAAAGUGAUCCAAAUGAUGAACAAAUUAUUUACAAUAGCUUCUCAUUCUUUGAAAUGUUUAAAAUCUAUUCUAAGGCUUGUCCAUUCCUCUUGCCUUCCAUUGCAUGGGUUAGUAUGUAAACAACACAUGCAUGGCCAGCAAGGCUGAAAACUCAAUUACGGUGACCCCAAUAGAAAUAGCCACACCCAAGUUUUCCCUUGCUUAGGUCAGGCCAGGUACUCAUGUCUGUGCCCACGCAGCAGGGAUUGUAAGACACAUUCUAAUUGCAGAGAUAAUAAAAUGUUCAGAAGUGAGACCCUUAGAAACGGUGGCAUGUGAUGCUCUUCUUUUAUUGCUUCUCCUAGCAUUGUCCCUUUUAUGAUUCUGCUUUAACUCAAACUGUCAGAAAGGGUGUAGCAACAAGCAAUAUGACUGUGGUGCCCAGGAUUCCAAAAAGAAUCCUUCAGUGUUACCAUGCCAACCAGCAUCCAUCCCAAGAGUUGCCUCUGAAUAAGCCACAGUUGGAGGGGCCUCGUUCGAGAAUCUAAGUGGAGUCAAAGUUCUGCUUCACCAAGGCCCACAAAAUGGUAGCAGUAGACUCAUUCCAGUUGUCCAGAGUCCACCCACUUUGAACUUAGAACAAAGAGAACUCUCCAUCCAGAGUUUGGAUAACUCUCCCAUCAAGGUUAACUGACAUUGAGAUCACCAUGUCUUCGCAACAUGAAACAAUGCGCACCAUGCAAAUACUCUUCUUUCUCCCAGAGAAAGCAUGUGAAUGCUUGGGCAACAUUUAGAAAUUGCCGAUGUGGCAUCUCCAGGUAUUUCCUGAGUCCCCAUUUUUUCACUUGGUGUCAUCUUGUACAUUUAAAAUCUUUUGCAUUCUCCUUUUCAAUUUCCCAUUUGUUCUCUAUGUCCCUAGCAGCUCAAUUCUGAAUUUGGUGUGAGUUCCGUGUAGGGAGGAGUAUAGUCACUGCCCUCUCAUGGCCCAGGAAUCCCCUAACUAAAAUGAGCAGUGCUCCAAAGUAACCUCAUGGCCUUGUGUGUCUCACAAUGACAGCCUCUGUCACAAAUACAAAACAGGGGAGAUGAGCCUGGGUAAUGGACACAGGCCCCCAUCCCUUCCCACAGAUACACAUCACAGAGCAAAGACCCUGCAUAACUGCCCUCUACUGGGUAAAGGGUUAAUGCCUUUUAACAUUGGUAGUUUUGUGGUUAGAGCAUCCCAAAAAAUAACUUCCAUUGUGAGUGUUGUACCCUCCUCUACCAUUGCAGGAGACUUGCUUUUUCACACAUGGCCUGAGUUCCUUCCUUCCCAGCACGCCUGCCUGCCAAAUCUCAUCCCUACCUCUGCCUGAGGCCUCCAGAUGUUAGUAGUGAUGGAUGGAAACAGGACCAGGACUGAAUCCAUACGUGGUCACAGCACCACUGCCCCUGGUUCCUGGAGGCAGCCUGGAGAGGAAGCUUUAUUCCUCAUUAGUGAGAGAGCUGAUGGCUACAUGUUGACAUGAAGGACUCCUUUUGUUGUAUUCAACAUAAAGCCCCUUUCCCCAAACUCUUACUCUGGUUUCUUUAUUUUCCUACUCCCUCUACUACCUCCAACUCUUUUUCUUUUCUUUCUUUCUUUCUUUCUUUUUUUUUUUUUUUUUGCUGGAACUUUAUUGUGGUAUAAUUUACUUAACAAAGUUUACUCAUUUCAAGUGUAUGAUUCUCAGUACAUUUAAAAUUGAGCAACCCAUAUACACCAUGGAAUACUAUGCAGCCAGAAAAAAUGAUGAGUUCAUG
rnacentral:lncRNA from 1 species